AAGACUAUACUUCACAGGAUCAUUUCUGUAGUCAGUCUUCACUUACUUUCACACUCUCUGAAAGCAAGUCACACCCGCGUUGAUGAGAUGAAUCGUUUUAUUCGGCAGCGUGAGGAUUUGCGUGAUGCCCUUUGCGAUGUGAUUUAUCACUCGUUUUGUGGGCGUGGCGCUUCGAUGAUCGCUCGGUAACACGAAUAGAACGAAUUCUGAGUGGU